rnacentral:rRNA from 1 species
GACGAACGCUGGCGGCGUGCCUAAUACAUGCAAGUAGAACGCUGAAGGAGGAGCUUGCUCUUCUGGAUGAGUUGCGAACGGGUGAGUAACGCGUAGGUAACCUGCCUGGUAGCGGGGGAUAACUAUUGGAAACGAUAGCUAAUACCGCAUAAGAGUAGAUGUUGCAUGACAUUUGCUUAAAAGGUGCAAUUGCAUCACUACCAGAUGGACCUGCGUUGUAUUAGCUAGUUGGUGGGGUAACGGCUCACCAAGGCGACGAUACAUAGCCGACCUGAGAGGGUGAUCGGCCACACUGGGACUGAGACACGGCCCAGACUCCUACGGGAGGCAGCAGUAGGGAAUCUUCGGCAAUGGACGGAAGUCUGACCGAGCAACGCCGCGUGAGUGAAGAAGGUUUUCGGAUCGUAAAGCUCUGUUGUAAGAGAAGAACGAGUGUGAGAGUGGAAAGUUCACACUGUGACGGUAUCUUACCAGAAAGGGACGGCUAACUACG